rnacentral:rRNA from 1 species
GACGAACGCUGGCGGCGUGCUUAACACAUGCAAGUCGAACGGUAAGGCCCUUCGGGGUACACGAGUGGCGAACGGGUGAGUAACACGUGGGUGAUCUGCCCUGCACUUCGGGAUAAGCCUGGGAAACUGGGUCUAAUACCGGAUAGGACCCUGGGAUGCAUGUCCUGGGGUGGAAAGCUUUUGCGGUGUGGGAUGGGCCCGCGGCCUGUCAGCUUGUUGGUGGGGUGAUGGCCUACCAAGGCGACGGCGGGUAGCCGGCCUGGGAGGGUGACCGGCCACACUGGGACUGAGAUACGGCCCAGACUCCUACGGGAGGCAGCAGUGGGGAAUAUUGCACAAAGGGCGCAAGCCUGAUGCAGCGACGCCGCGUGAGGGAUGACUGCCUUCGGGUUGUAAACCUCUUUCAGCACCGACGAAGCGCAAGUGACGGUAGGUGCAGAAGAAGGACCGGCCAACUACGUGCCAGCCGCCGCCGUAA